UCAUAUCACGUUCAAACACUGAUUCUCAUCAGAUCACCGAAGUUAAGUAACAUUGAGCCUAGUCAGUACCAAGAUGAGUAAUGCUUGGGAAUUCCAGAUGCUGUAA